GGAUCCUGCCCCACUAGUUUGAGCCAUGAUUUUUUUUCCAGGGAGAGUUCAUGCUGCCCGAGUCCUUUUAUAAAAGGAAUGUUCCCAAGGAGGAAAGCCAAUAAGGGUCAACGCCAGAACGUCCAAAGGCCCGGAUCACCCAGACCUCGUUUUCCUCUAGCUGAGGUCGCGGAGGAGCGUCCUUGCUCUGUUUGGGCUCCUCCGUCGUUUUUUUCCCCCUCACCGGGGCUGCCCAGCUCGCCCCCGCCCGUAGUCACCAGGUCCUAAGAGCGGGCGGAGGUCUGCUGCUUCCCCGCCGCCCGGAGCCUCCGCGCCAUUGCAAACGCUCUCCUCCAGGUGGCAGUAGAGAGCCACUCCCCGCCCGGCAGCUUACGUCACCUUGUUUACCCGGCUCCGGGUCAUUUUUAGAUCUAAGAUCACAGGAUGUUAAUUGGGCCAAUGAUUUCCCAUUCGUUUUGGCAAAAGGCCGUUCUUGUGGGCGUCCGGACAAGCACGAUGUCCUUCUUGACAAUGAAAGUUUGCUGCGGGGAGUAUUUACUCUCAAACACUUGGAAUUCCAUCUUUAGGAGAUGGGAAAGCUGCGCGUUGCAGGAAAAAAUUUGGACUUUGGAACGUGGAGGAAUAAGGAAAACAGCUGAUUUGGCCAAUCUGUGUCCUGAUUCACUGUGGGGAGACACCUUGAAGCUCAGGGGCUCCGAGAGGCGCCUGCCUCAGAUGCCCUCGCCCAGGAAUUGGAUCUCAAUAUCUCAUAGAUCGCACAUUUCACAGGCUGGAACUUUAGGAGCCAACAACUUAUUUAUUACUCCCACGCUACCCAGCUACUGAUGAGGACAGAUGAGGCCCAGAGGAGCUAAAUGGCCUAGCUCACUCUCUCAUCUCGAGGCCUGGGUCGCUUGAGCACCAGUAAAAGCAUCAGAAGCCCUGGAGUUUCUGCUCUUUCUGCGCCAGCUUUGGUGGGUAGCGGUUGGAAGGCGCCAGAGUUUGCCGAUGACUGUGCACGAGGCAAAAUAAACAAACAGAAGUCCUCA
rnacentral:lncRNA from 1 species